GGCUAGAAAACAAUGGAAUUUUUAUUGAACAGAGAUGGCUCAUAAACACACUCAAAGGAGUUCCACCUGCUGUUCAGCAAUAUUCAUUGCUAUCUGAUAAUAACCUAUGGGGGCAGCUGUAUAAAACAGGAAUAAAAUACCAAAUUGCUAUAUUCAUUAAUAACUUUGCCUUCCAAAUACAGAACCAUAAGUAUUUCAAGUCUGAAAAUAGACCACAAUUGUUAGCAUUUGAACCAAACCUUUAUGAUAACAAAUAUACAAAAAAUGGCAGUCAAUAUAUUAAACAUUUAAAUCAAUAGCAUACAUUUCCAAGAGGUAAACAUUGAGCAAACAAAGCCACCGAUGAUGUUCAGGAAUCAGGUAAAAGUUUCAAGGUCAAGCUCCAAACACUGUAGCUUUUCUAAAGCCAUACUGGUAUUACACUUUUAUCUAGCCCCUACAUUGAAAACUAUGUAGCAUGAACAUUUGAAAAUAUAACAUUGGCUAUCCAGCAGGCAACUGGGAGUUCCUUAAGUCCUCCUCGUGUUUAUACCGGAGCACCUGCGGACACAGAGAGCAGUAGGAGUCAAGCACUUUGUUUGGCAAUGCUGGGGUUUGAGUUCUGUUCUAGAUGACCACAACAGGGUCCUAAUACCAAACACAAAUUCCAGCACGGACAAGAGAAUAUUUGCCUGACAACCUGCAUGAAGAAUCAGCCUCGCAACUUGCAUUAAACAGAAUGGGACUUGCACACCUGCCCAUUUACUGGAAGCCUGUGCUAUUUCUAUUGCAAAGAAAAAGUCUCCUUCAGUAGCUGAUCUAAUGCCGGAGGCUGAAAACUUGGGAUACGUACAUAAGCUCAAAAAUAAUGUGAUAAAUCUACUAUUGACAACUAAUAAAAGUUCGUAUUGCAAUAUUGCUCACAACAUAAAUGUACAAUUUGCACAAAACAUGGCUCUUCAACAUGAAUAUUUUGCAAGCUACUAUAUAUAUAUGUAUAUAUAAUAUGUAUAAUUUCUUUUCGUAAAGAAUUAUAUGCCAGAGUGCAUGCAAAGAAUUUCAAAGCAGUAGCACAACAGGAGUGAUCACUUGUUUACAGGUUACUGAGACCAUUCAAUACAGAAACAGUGGGAUAUUAGAUAACAGACAGACAGGUAGGUAGAUGUAUGUACACACUGCUUCUUCAGGGACCUUCCCAUGUGACACCCGAAUCUCAGACCCCUUUAAAAGACCAAACAGGGCUCUGAAGGUUCCCACACUCUGACCAUAAAUCACUUCUGUUGGAGACCACAGCAAAGGAGGCACUUGUCCCUUAGCCAAGAGUAGAAGCAAGCAAUCUUCUCCAUAGCCAACAUCUGAUCCAAAUCCUGCUCCUGCAUUUCUAAGCAGUGAGUGGUGAGCAUCUAUCCAUCCAAUGCUUUAGCUGGUCCCAAGCAGUCUCCUGCAACCUUUACAGCUGGAAAUCCAGGACUGAGAAGCUGGAUCCCCUAAAAGCAGUGCACAGCACUGCUACCAUUCUAGUCAGGUAUGUACAAGGCAUGACAUGUAUUCCUCUGGUUUAAAAUUUACAUAGAGUAUAUACAAAUAAAGCUAUUCUAUCAAGGUGCAAGUUUAUUAUUCUCUGGUGUGUUCCAAUGAAGAUUUCUUAAAAAAAACCUUUAUACAGACCCACCAGGAGAGUUUACACAAAGUUGACACUUUGUCAAGUUCAUUAUGUAGGCUUCCUUCUGCAAACUCCAUAAUGGAAACUCCUGUUACUUUCCCUUGGAGUUCUGCCUAUACACAGGGCUGGAUUUGAUAGACUACAGCCAUGUCUAAUAUAAUUUCCUUGAUUUUAAUACAUUUUAAACUUGGAUGAAGUGGCAGCAUGUGUUUUUUGGGUUUUUUUUCCCAGGGUGUCAUCCAUCUCUAUGAAAUGAGGCAGGACAUGUAAUUCGAUGUCAGGGGGAUUGUAUUUCAUGUGCCCAGUCCAGCUUUCCUUGCUUUUGAUGGGACUGUGGUGUGUGAAGCUGUCACAGUUUGGCCCUAUGGGUAUGUCUGGAAGUCCUUGGUGCUAUUUUACACUGGCUGAUGACAGGCAAUGUCCUCAAAAGAAAAAAAAAAAAAAAAAACCCAAAUGCAAUUUACUAAACAGUAAACAUCAGACUGAUGCACUAAACAGAUGGAUAUGGAAUGCAACUUGUCUAAAAUUAGAACAGUUGUUUUCUUAGGCAGGUCUAAAAUCAUAAAGAUCUUUCCCAUCCCACGCAGGCCUCAUUCUGCAGCAUGUAAAUAUAUGAUACUUCUAAUAAAACUCAUUGUGAAUGCAAAGCCUGUGAUCAAGGAGCAGAAGGAAGGCCUGCCCUCUCCCAUUUCCCUUCAGCAAAAACCUCAAGUAAUAUAAGUACAUAUUUAUGAUCACUGAUGAAGCAGAGGGGCUGUGUGCAGUGACAGCAGGAUUUGGCCUUCAGCCUUUAUGGUGUACCAACCACAAGUGUGCAGAUGACUGGAUGGGAAAUUACAUCUGCUAGAGCAUUAAAAAACCAUACAGCCUUGCAGUAACUCCCAUUAAAAAUUCCCACUGACUUGAGGAGAGAGAGCAAGAGAGCAGUCUUUAGCAAGUGCAUGUUCUGCUCCACUGGAGUUAUGUCCCUCAGAAAUCUUUCUGUAAUACCAUUUUCCUCCAUUUUGUAAGCUGAUUAUAUCGAGGCAUUCACAGCAGAGGCUUUGCACGUGUCCUCUCAAGCUAAGGGGAGCCUUUCACACUAGAAACAAAGAUCUCAUUAGUUGGUUUUUUUUCUUUUUCAGAGUAAUGCAAUAAUAAAAAUCAACUUGCUGGUUUCACAUGCUGCAGCACCUUUAUACAGCCUUAACAAAAUAAGAUUUUUGUUAAGGCUGUUACAAUUCAUUUGUCAUCUAGCAAGAACAAAUGAAUCAUAAUCUCAUUGGAGAUUUUAAAAGGAUCAGCAUCAGACAGACAUUAAACGGUGUUUAAGAUGACCUCAGGUGCACUUGGAGAAGAUGCUGUGAGAGUGCUUCAGCAAUUAAAAAAAAGGCUCAAAAGAAAUUAAAUACAAAUAUGCCCUUUAAAAUAAUGUUCAAGUUGUGGACACAGUGGACAAAAGCAAACAAAGCCGCCACCUCAAAUUAUGGCUGAGCUCCUCUAUUUUUCAUACAUUUCCUUCUGCCUUGGUUCUGACUGCCGUCCAUUAGUCUCUCCAGUGGAAGGGCUUGUGCUGGAUCAUUAACAGCAGAAAACAGGCAAUUUUCAAAAGCAUCUAACACACUCAAGAGAAUGACAUAUUUGAAUGAGCCACAUUUGUCUGUCCUUUUGAGAAAAAAAUAUUUGGUUCCAGAAACAUUUGUAUUUCUUAGCUAUAAUCUUUAUCCAUUGAAAAAACAUCUGCCAUCCUAUUGUCCAUACUCUGACUCUGUUAUUUUGUUUUUAUCCACUGUAAAUGGGUAAGCAAAGGGGAAGAAAGUUUCACCUGUGUUGUUAAUUAUAGAUGACCUCAAACAUGCCUGUGAAGCCACAAACCAGUAUUUAAGCCGCAUCUGUGGGACGGAGGACAGGAUCUCUGUGUUUGUUGAUGAUGGCUGUUGGGUUAUGUGAUCUUUCAUUUCCUUCUCAAUAAAAAGUGAAAUGAAACCUUCACAAAAAACCCCAACAAAAGAUGACAGCAAACAAAACCACUCAGCUAGGAAAAAAACCCCAAACCCAAAUUCAUAACAACCGUAACAAAUGCAAAACAAUCAUAGCAAUUCCUAGGUUAGUAUUACACAAAUUAGGAGUCUGCCUAAAACCAGCAAAAAAUCAAGAUCAGCACAAUGGUUCUGGCACAUCUUAUUUCUGGCACAUCCUUUCCUCUUGUUUUCACUUUUCUUUCCUAGCUUCCAGUUCCAAGACAUCUCAGGGACAGGUGGAAGUGGAUGUGAAGAGGCAGAAAUGAAGCAAAGAGCUGCCCACAGACAGUGCUCUUUCUGUAUUUACAGGAUGCUCACACCAGGAUUUCCUAAUUUAGGUUUGCUUUCAGUGAUAAAGGCACAAGCGCUUCAGAAGUGGAUCAUUUUCCAUUUAAGGAUCAAGACUGUGCUUUCUGAUUAGAGAUAUGCAUUUGGCCUGCAAAGACUUCAAAGGUGACACAGUAUGAAAUAAAGAUGGAAAACAGACCUAAUCCACAGACUAGAGAAAUCAAUGAAUAGGCUUCCAGCCAUUUUAGUGGAGCAAAUUUCAUCAUGCUUUCUUGUUUUGGUUUGUGAAUGAAGUUACAGUAGAAACUUGUGGUUUUUUCAUAGAACAUUCAUAUAUUUUUAACAUGUAAAUUACUCCUUGAACCCUAUAUCAAAUAUUUAUAAAUGCUAAACUAGGUACAAAGUCAAACCCGUUUGGGAAAGUAGAGCAGAGGGAGGUUUAGCUGCACUAAUGGAUAUUGCAUUAAUGCUUAGACUCAAGGAAGGCUGACUGCCAUUAACAAGAAAUCUCAUUACAAACAUGAUUUCACGCCUCAUAACAUAUCCCGUAGACCUAUUUGAUGUCCAUCUCUCUCUCUUGAACAUACACACAAUGAUAACUGUAGACACAAAAUCCAAAGUAUUGCACAUGCUUCAUCUUUACUUCCCAAUGAAAAAAUUAUCAAACCAAACAAAUAAAAAAAGCAAAAGAAAACCAACCCAAAUUUCAACGUUUUACAAUCUCACUUCUGCCAUGAAUGACUUAAGACACUUUCCAGACUUUGACGUAAUGAAAAACAUGCUCUGAGCAUAAAUGAUGUUCAAAUAGCAUUACAAGAAGCUUUCAGAGGAGUGGGACUGAAGGAUGCUCUAGCAGCCCACCUGGUACUAGGGGUGGGGAGGGCAGGUUGAGAGAAUGGGGUCUUUCCUGUGGAUUUUUCUUUUCCCUCCUCUCUGUAGUAGAUGGCAGAGCCAAGAGAGAGUGGGGAAGAAGAGCACUGAACCUAACUUGGGGCAUUAAAGAGCAGAGAUCCAUUAUUCAACCUUGCCCAUAACACCCAAGAGAUCAGAAAGAGGAAUAUCCUGCACUGCAGAGAGUGGGAUUUACUUGGUUGGUGUCUAUAAUGCUCAGGCACCUCUGUUCCCCACUGGCACAGUGCAUAUGGCUCCACAACAGCUGCAGGGCUCCAGAGAAACAGGGACAGGAAGCAACCUACUGGCCAAAAUGCACUGAUGAGACAUAAAUAGCUCAUGUUUUUCUAGUACUAACUGGAACUUAGCCAGGAACAUGGGGUCAAAAAGCUCUGAGAUACAUUCCUGUAGUCCAUGUAUUCUACAAUGUAAAAACAUAACUCACAACUGAAGUAAGACUGCACAUUUUACUGCAUCCCCAAAUGGCACAAUUAGUCAUUGGCUUAAUAACUGCAAGGCAAAAAUCAGUUCCCAAGGUAUUGAACUGACUGGGUUAAGCAGGGUAUUUGACCAAGAGACUGCUUGGAUGCCGGGGAAGGAGUUUUCACUAUGAUGAGGCUCCAGGGGCUUCCUGUGCUCCUUCCUACUUCCUGCCCCAGUAUGGCACAACCAGCACUAGGGCACAGGAGGCUUUUGACUGUGCUGAGGGGCAAUUCCCAGCCUGCACAUUUGCUGUGAGCCCUUCAAAAGGUAUGCAGAACAGAGAGAACCUGACUUUGGAAAGGCUCAUCUGAAAGCCUCUCACGCAGGAAGCGGCAGGUUAUUCAGUGUAUCCACUGCUGGGAAGGGGAAGGGCUGGACUCUCUUGAACCUGUAGCUUUAACAAGUCCAGAUGCUUUGAAACAUGUUAAUCUGUCCCUGCCAGAAUAGCGUUUUGACCUUAAUUAAUUAAAAUGACCUCCUAACACACUGGAUUUUCCUAAAGUGGCAGUCUCUUUUUUUAUUUCUGAGCAUCUCCCUUUUCUUUUGUGGCUCAUUGUAAGUCAUAAAUUAUUUUCAAUUGGGUAUUUCAGCGAGGCUUUUCCCCAUCUUUGUUUGCUUUAGAAAGGCAGUGAGAAAUAAGAUUACCUCUCACUGUGCUGGGCAAAGCUGAAUAAUGGAAGUUUUAAUGAUAACACAGCAGCAGAGAUGAUGGGGAGUGGAAAGACCAAAGUUAACCAGCAGCAGCAGUGAAGAUAUUUGUAAGGACGAGAAAGUGCCACCAAUUGCUUCAAUUCCAUGGCCAUAUGUGAGCAUGGGACCAAGCAAACCCUCUGUGUGAGCACUGAAGAGACUGGAGCCAACUGGGCUGGUUGAGAAUGCCAAGCAAGUGGCACGAGAUGGGGCUGUUUCCCCUGUUCCUGCUCUCCCCUUUGAUUUCAUGGAAACUCUGACUUGGGGAACAAAUGAAUUAGCCAACAGUGAACACUAUACCUCUGGAAUCAGAGGCAAAGAUCUGAGUUUAUACAUUCAAAUUAUUUUACCUAAUCCUCCUCCCUUACUAAGACCUCUUCAUUCAUGUGCCAUCCAGCAUGGACAGAAACCUGUGCCUAAGCUAAGCAUGCCCAUUCACAUGGCAUCACUGCCUCUACAGGAUGAAAGAACAAAACUGUCAGCCCAAAGAAAGGUGAAAAAUGCCUUUCCAAAGGAAAAAGAAACAACAAAGUCGCUGUUUAGCGAUUUAGCCAACUAACUAUGCAAAGCACAAGGUGUCUGUAGAAUUAACCUAUCCAGCCAACACAACCUCUCUUGUAAAUUGCUGUCUCCUGGGUGUUUUAGUGACAAGCAGUCCAAGCAAAGCACAAAACCCAUCAUCUAAUGAGACUCUUGACUUUGAGGUGGUGAGAUACCACAUUUUAAGCACAGGCAUCCAAGAUAAACACACUCUAGGGCAUUUACAGCUGUUCCAUGCAAGAAGCCUUGGACAGAUCUGAAGGAAUGACAACUUAAUGACAACAAAAAGAAACUGAAUGUCCUCCUCCUACCCACACUGAGCUUGCUUCCCCAGCUGAAAGGCUCACUGAAGGCAGCUGACAAACUCCCAUUAGUCUUUCUGCAGGUUUCCAGAUUUUCCUUCUGCUUUGGGCACCACAUGCACAAUAUUCUCAGCAGUGCUCUCACCGAAGCCACGGAGCACUGAGCCACAGCUGAAGACUUGGCUGUGCUGUUUUCUGCAGCUGAAGGCCAGUUACAAAUAGCAGGUCAGGUGCAAUUGUACUGAAAUGUGAUAAUCUGGUCAGAGUGGGCAGCUUCUGUUUUCACCCACAGAAAUGAAGAUAAAAGGCCUUACCUCAAAAUAAGUAACAAGUUAAAAACUAACCUAAUAAUUUUGCUAUAAAUGUAUGGAAGUGCUGCAGUUUGUUUGCUUACAGGUUGACAUCUAAAAUGAGUAAUGUUCUCAUCUAUGGGGUUUCAGAUAUUAUCUGAGGGUUAUUUCAAGGGUAACUUCCUGCAAACUUAUUUAAUAAAUUUUAGGAUAAAUCCUAGGCAGUUAUUUUAAUUCUUAUAAAUCUCAACAUCUCUGUGCCAGAGGAUGAAAGCAACAUUAGGCCCUUCAUUUCUGUAAAGCACUUGCAAAGCCUCACAUGAAAGACACCUUGUCAAACCAACUAACUUGAAGACUUUGGCUUUAGGUAAAUCUCAUUCAGAAAACAAACAAACAAACAAAAACAAACCCCACAAAACAAACAAACAAACCCCAAAUCCAAAAACCCCAAACCAAGAACAAAAAACACAACCAAAACUAACCAACCAACCAACAAAACCCCAAACCCAAACCAGUGGCUUCAGAGGCAACUUUAGUGAAUGCAGGUUUCAGGUUGUCAUCUUUCAGCAGUAUUUUUAAGACAAAGCCAGCUCCUAAAGGACCCUGAAUAUGUGCAACUGACUUCAAUUAGUUUUGCAAGAUUCCAGCUUCUCCCAGGAUUUAAUCCAUAAGCAAGAGCACUAGGAAUGGCUGCUUUUUCCAGGAUGGCCUGAUCCUCAUCUUGAAUAUAUGAACCUAUUAACCUUAAAAAACCCCAUUUAAGCAGGGUCCUGUAUGCCUGAGUCCCCACAGACCUCACGUCAUUCCAUGCCAUAAUAACAGAAGACUCCUCUGAUUUUAGGCAGGUACAGCUGGGAAGAAGAGAUGCCUUUUCUUUUCCAUCACUGCACCACCUCAGAGCAGUUCAUUUCAGUGCAAACAACCCACUUCCCUUUUACUUUUUAACCUUUAAAGAGUAGCACAUGCUGCUAUGCUUUAAAACAAAACUAGAAUUUAAGAAAGCCCCCAGCACAUCACACAGUGCAGCCCAUCCAGGAUUUUGGCAUGAAGCCAGUGGAUAUUCAGUGCAAAAAGGCUCAGUAUCCAAAGCAGCAUAUGCAGAAUUGAGCAAGCAGCUCUCAUUAGUACCAAUAGGAGCCUGGCUACUAAACCUUCACACCUUUUUAAAGAUGUUUCCUCUGUCUUUAAUAGCCAUUCUUUACUAAUCUACUCUGGAGCUGAAACCAAGCAGGCAGAAGUUUUAGCUGGGGAAAAAAUAGUCUUAGCCAUUAGAAAGCUGGCCCUGUUCCAGAACACAGAGCAUCUGGCCACCAGCUGUGUUUAGAGGACAGCAGACCUGAGGAAUAGAUCAGGGGAAAAUCAGAGACAGUGCUGAAAUUUGUAUGAAAAGAAUGCCAGCCUUCCCCUGUGAUGUCCAAAACCUUUGCCCUCCUACAUUCCCCAUCCUUUUCUCUUCCCAGCUCUUGAGCCAAUUAUUGGAAAAUCAACUAUUCAGGACAA
rnacentral:lncRNA from 1 species